rnacentral:rRNA from 1 species
ACGUUAGCGGCGGACGGGUGAGUAACACGUGGGUAACCUACCUAUAAGACUGGGAUAACUUCGGGAAACCGGAGCUAAUACCGGAUAAUAUUUCGAACCGCAUGGUUCGAUAGUGAAAGAUGGUUUUGCUAUCACUUAUAGAUGGACCCGCGCCGUAUUAGCUAGUUGGUAAGGUAACGGCUUACCAAGGCGACGAUACGUAGCCGACCUGAGAGGGUGAUCGGCCACACUGGAACUGAGACACGGUCCAGACUCCUACGGGAGGCAGCAGAA